UACGGGGGGGGCAAGCGUUGUUCGGAAUUACUGGGCGUAAAGGGUGCGUAGGCGGUUCGCUAAGUUGGAUGUGAAAACUAUGGGCUCAACCCCGGACUUGCAGUGGGUACGGGCAGACUGGAGUGUGGUAGGGGAGAGUGGAAUUCCUGGUGUAGCGGUGAAAUGCGCAGAUAUCAGGAGGAACACCCGUGGCGAAAGCGGCUCUCUGGGACGGUACUGACGCUGAGACGCGAAAGCGUGGGGAGCAAACAGG
rnacentral:rRNA from 1 species